rnacentral:rRNA from 1 species
AUUGAACGCUGGCGGCAGGCUUAACACAUGCAAGUCGAGCGAGCGGCGGACGGGUGAGUAAUGUCUGGGAAACUGCCUGAUGGAGGGGGAUAACUACUGGAAACGGUAGCUAAUACCGCAUACCAUCGGAUGUGUCCAGAUGGGAUUAGCUAGUAGGUGGGGUAAAGGCUCACCUAGGGGACGAUCCCUAGCUGGUCUGAGAGGAUGACCAGCCACACUGGAAGUGAGACACGGUCCAGACUCCGACGGAAGGCAGCAGUGGAGAAUAUGGCACAAUGGGCGCGAGGCUGAUGCAGCCAUGCCUCGUGUAUGAAGAAGGCCUUCGGGUUGUAAAGUACUUUCAGCGGGGAGGCGUUACCCGCAGAAGAGGCACCGGCUAACUCCGUGCCAGCAGCCGCGGUAAUAC